AAAUAACCUCGUAACUUCGGGAGAAGAGGAGCCCUUGAGGGUCAGUAUCCACGCGAUACAAAGCGCUCGAGGGUCGCAGUGAAGAGGCUCAAGCAACUGUUUAACAAAAACACAGGUCUAUGCUAAGCUGGAAGGCGAUGUAUAUGGGCUGACACCUGCCCAGUGCUGGAAGGUUAAGAGGAGGAGUGAGAGCUCCGAAUUGAAGCCCCAGUGAACGGCGGCCGUAACUAUAACGGNNNNNNNNNNGGGUAUGCGCGCGGACGAACGGAAGUGUCCGUAGAAGUAUGUAGGAUGACUUGAUAGGAAAAUCCAUUGAGUUAUAUCUGAGGUAUGAUAUACAGUCGUAAGAUGAAUGCGCAAAUCCCACGCUGCCAAGAAAAGCUUCUAACGUUAAUAUUUGACUGCCCGUACUGCAAACCGACACAGGUGGUCAGGAUGAGAAAUCUAAGGCGGACAGGCUAACUCUCGUUAAGGAACUCUGCAAAAUAACCUCGUAACUUCGGGNNNNNNNNNNAACGGUCCUAAGGUAGCGAAAUUCCUUGUCGGGUAAGUUCCGACCUGCACGAAUGGUGUAAUGAUUUGAGCGCUGUCUUGACGGGAGGCCUGGUGAAAUUGUAUUACCGGUGAAGAUACCGGUUACCUACAGUAGGACGGAAAGACCCCAUGGAGCUUUACUGUAGCUUGGUAUUGGGUUUUGGCAUUGCAUGUAUAGGAUAGUUGGGAGACUGAGAUGAUAUGGCGCUAGCUGUAUCGGAGUCAUCGGUGGAAUACCAACCAUUCAAUGCUGAAAUUCUAAUCUGUGGUUUGUAGCCACGGAGACAGUGCUAGGUGGGCAGUUUGACUGGGGCGGUCGCCUCCGAAAGAG
rnacentral:rRNA from 1 species